CGCACAGCUGGAGCGGGCGGGCGCACAGCUGGGCAGCGGCGCCACGUGAGCAUCUGGCGGAGCCCACGUGCACCAACGCCUGCACAGCUGGCCCAGGCAGAUGUUUAUAGCUGGGAACAGCUGGGUUUUGUCACCGCUCGCUCCACGACAACACGCCGCCGCUGCUAAAGAAGAAAGGAGCUCUGGCCCAGCUGCCAUCACCAUAUGCAGACGAACACCCUGUGGAAAAGUCAGUGCUGCUGCAGGGUCAUAUCAAAGGGAACAAUCCCAUGGGACAGUCCCCAAAUUUGUGUUGCUUGCCAAAUGAGGGAAAAAAACCAAACCCAAACAGCUAAAGGGAUUUAACACGAUGCCAGCCCAAAAUUCAGUCCAGGAAAAGCCACCUCUGCAAUGAGCACUGGUAAUCAACACUCACCCCUGCUCAUCCCUCUGCCCCCCAAACCCUUCUGCGGCUGCAGCAUCCCCUCUGCCGUCAUUGCAGCGGGGCAGCGUGACACGGUGGCUGGCAGCUAACGAGAGCCACCGCUGAUUCGGUGCCACCGGACUCGGUGAGGGCUUAGCUGGCCGGGGACACCAGGGCUGGGAGACAGCACCAGCAGCGAGACGUUGGUAUAAAAAGGAUGGAAACCACUGUGUGGGAGAACAUCCCCUUUUAAUCCUGAAAGCCCUAAAAUCAGGUCUGCCUCACUGUCCCGUCUCCCGGAGAGAUGGUACAAAUCCUGCACGGCUGGGGAGAUAACCAGCCGGGCUCUGCCAUCAUCCCAGCCUCACGAGAUACGGAGUGACGGUGCCUGAGCUGAGCGAUACUGUCAGGAUGAAAGAAUUAAUCACAGCCCAUUACUUCAUGUCUCAUAGCCCUUGCAAAGCGCUUAUCAUAAAACUUUUACAAGCCUGUCAGGACACGGUUUCCACCGAUACCGAUGAGCCAACGCUCGCUGCCGGCGCUGCCCGCGGAGCCGAUACGGAUGAGUGCUUGUUCUGCCUCCCGCUUCACCGAGGUGACGGAGAAGCAUCGCUAUCGAGAGGGGUGAACGCGGUACGGCUCAUGCAUGUUUUAUUUGCUGAGAAAAUUAAGCGAAGGCAGCCAUGUGAGCGGAUACCUAUGUUCAGGACAGUGACAAGUAUUUUCAUGGUGGGAAAAGCUCUGCUUUGUAAGGACUGAGUUUCAAGAGUACUUGAUGCCCGUAAGGCUUUCAGACGUGCUCAGGGAGCUGCUGGGAGCAUAGAGAAACCAGCAACUCCUUUCAGGUGGUAAAAUUCCUCUCAAUUUUCUUUUCUCUGACAGCUAUUGAUGAGGGAUAAAUGCCAUUUGCUCCCAAAUGCAGCUGGAUUUGAACUAACGAUUUAAAGAUGAAACGGUCUGUAUCCUGUUUCCAGUAAGUUUGCCUCAAUCCAUUAAACAGCACUUUUCAGAUCGUU